GAGGUUGCACCAAAAAUCAAUACUCUCCCUCGUCCUGCUCUCCUCAUCCUCCUCCUCCUCACCGGUGGGCGUGGAUUUGGAAACUUUCUUCUCAGCUUUUAAAUUCAGGAGUUCAUUGUAGAUUUCAUUCUGACAGUCAAGUCAGGUCACUGGGAGCAAGAUGACAACAUACACAGACAAAGGCGAGAAGCAUGAGCAGGGAAGGUUCCUCUGCUUUGAUCACUUGACAUUCUGGGUUGGUAAUGCAAAACAGG